UCCAGGGGCGGGGGCGCAGGUUUGGCAGGAGCCCAGGGUUGGUUUUGCCCUGCUGAAACAGGCCCGUGCCUUCCUCUGGCCAGUGGUUUUGCCCCCACGGAUGGGGGCGGGGGUGCAGCUGUUCCAGCCAGGCAGCGGCGUGUGCUAGGUGUUCGAAGUAUCUUCCUCCAGCUGCGUUAGGACCCAGCGCGAAGGCAGAAACACAGAGGCGCCGGCCAGUGCACAGAUGGCAGAAUGAAAGCACAGAGAAGUCACCUAUGCAAGGUCGCACGGCUGGCAUAUGGUGAAUCAGGACCUGUCUGAUGUAUACAUUUUUUUCUUGGAGGUGUGUCCUUUUCUUGGAAGAUUUUUUGAUGUUUAACCACAAAAUAAUUUAACCACAAAAUAAUUUAACCACAAAAUAAUUCCUCCAGCCAUUUGUAGGACAGACACAUCAUACCAGCAUGGGAGUGAGAAGAGAAGCUAGGACCAGGGCUCUCGAAGGACCAACAUAAAGCUGUCUGCCUUCUUCUGGGACACAAUGUGCUAAA